GGGCCGUUAGCUCAAUCCGGCAGAGCAACUGACUCUUAAUCAGUGGGUUACAGGUUCGACUCCUGUACGGCUCACCA
rnacentral:tRNA from 1 species